UAAGGAGGAUGCGAGCGUUAUCCGGAUUUAUUGGGUUUAAAGGGUGCGCAGGCGGUCUGUUAAGUCAGCGGUCAAAGCCCGGGGCUCAACCCCGGCCCGCCGUUGAAACUGGGGAUCUAGAGUGUGCGAGAGGUAUGCGGAAUGCGUGGUGUAGCGGUGAAAUGCAUAGAUAUCACGCAGAACCCCGAUUGCGAAGGCAGCGUGCCGUGCCGCCACUGACGCUGAGGCACGAAAGCGCGGGGAUCGAACAGG
rnacentral:rRNA from 1 species